CCUACGGGUGGCAGCAGUGAGGAAUAUUGGUCAAUGGCCGAGAGGCUGAACCAGCCAAGUCGCGUGAGGGAAGACGGCCCUACGGGUUGUAAACCUCUUUUGUCGGGGAGCAAAGCGCACCACGUGUGGUUCAUUGAGAGUACCCGAAGAAAAAGCAUCGGCUAACUCCGUGCCAGCAGCCGCGGUAAUACGGAGGAUGCGAGCGUUAUCCGGAUUUAUUGGGUUUAAAGGGUGCGCAGGCGGAGGUGGAAGUCAGCGGUCAAAUUGCGGGGCUCAACCCCGUCAUGCCGUUGAAACUGCAUGCCUUGAGUGGGCGGGAAGUAAGCGGAAUGCGUGGGGUAGCGGUGAAAUGCAUAGAUAUCACGAAGAACUCCGAUUGCGAAGGCAGCAUACCGGCGCGCAACUGACGCUCAUGCACGAAAGCGUGGGUAUCGAACAGGAUUAGAUACCCGAGUAGUC
rnacentral:rRNA from 1 species